CGCAUGUUUCCGGUGGAUGGUAUGCAAAACAGCUGCUCCAUCAAGUGCUCGACGCGGACAUUUUGCGAGUGAUCAUUUCAGUUUUAAACUUCCUUGCGGGUAGAAGAGCACAUCAGCAACGAUAUGGCAGUUCUCUCGAAGGAAUUUAAUUACGCUUUGAUCAUUCAAAAGGAACGUUGACGAUAUUUUUAAACGCACGAUGGACACGUUCCCCCACCAAACGAUGUCAAAGUACGAUCGACAGGUACAAGCGAACAGCAACACAACAUGUGUAUCCUUCAUCCAGUGGCUACAGGCGGAAUCAACAGAAUAUGGGUAGCUCGGAUGGAUGGGAUGAUGGGAACAGUACAAAACGCACGAGCUGAUCCCAAGCUAACCCAAGGAACGACGAUGGGCACACUUUCUAAUGAACCGUUUCAGCAACGCACGAAGACGAUAAUGAUGAUGGCGGAGCUUAAACUCGACUUGAAGCUGGCAAAGGAUUGCCUGUGACAGGUGGGAUGCCGGCCCAGGGCGAUCGACCGACAUGACACCUAUUUUUUUUUGGGUGCUGGUGUCCCCACUACUCGAGCGUGAAGCUUUUCCGGUGGCUCGAUUCAAGCACGUCGAGCCGAAGAUCGAGCGGCGAACGAAGGAGAGCGAGAAAAAGUUAUCUUGAUAUUUACAUUGAAUUAUUCCGCCGGACACACAAACUCUUGGAAAGGUCAUCAAAUGGGAAAAGGGUUCAUCAAACGUUUCCUUAAGCCCAACGAUCGUCGUUGCGCUUCAGGUGCUCGUGUGCAUCAUUAUCGGUAGCCGCGUGGAAUUGGACCCGGGUUGCUUCUGCUUCCUUUUCGGGGUAAAUAUUGCACU